rnacentral:lncRNA from 1 species
GCAUUGCAGCCUCCUGCUGACGCUGCACUACAUCAGCCUGUUGCCUCAUCACUCCCACGAGUGUGGCCAACUGUUCACGAAGCUCUGAGUCUCCGCUCGCGUCGAUUUGCUCAGGGACACCACUUGUCCCCGCCCGCGCCGAUCUGGACGAAGAUCGCCUACGCGGUGCCAUCGUUUCCCGAAACAAGACAACUCGAUUAGUUCUCGACCAACUCGGGUCGAACACGAGACCACUAACACCGGCUCAAAAGCCAAUCAGGCGAAAGUCAUGCAAGGACGUUUAUUCUCGUCACUCGGCUUCAUGUCGUGCGCGCCCAAC